GAGCGACCGGCUGAGAAACCAGGUCAAAAAGGUCUGUCUUGCCCUCAACAUCAGCUCCCCCAUCACGGAGUUCCAGCUGAGCAACAUCUUGGUGGAUGAAGAGACGUUGACGCUUUACUGCAGCGUUCCUAAGGUUGCCAGCACAACCAUGAAGAAAGUAUUUCUGAGACUCACUGGAGGCAUCACUAGCCAAGAAUUCCUCGACAUCAAGGAAAGGGACAUCGUACAUAGCCAUCCGUUACUGAAGCCCCUCUACCUACCCAGAUACGCCAAAAUACGUUCGGACAUGCUCGCCUCGUACAGAAAAUUACUUUACGUUCGAAACCCGCUGGCCAGAGUGGUUUCCACGUAUCGGACAAGUGGAGAGAUUACACCGGCCGCGAGAGAGUCAACUUCCCUCAAUACUUGGCUGGAAAAUUGAAAGAGAAGUUCGGUCUUUCUUCAAGACAUCGUAGGAGUCUCGAAGACCUCGUCACCUUCAAGAAUUUCGUGAAACUUAUCCUCGCUCAGGAUGAUGAUGAGAUGAUAAUAAUGGACCCUCAUUGGCGCUCCAUUCAUGAGAUGUGCAAUCCCUGCGCCAUCGCCUACGACUUCAUCGGCCAGUUCGAGCACCUUCCCGACGACGCGCCCUUCCUCCUGCGCUGGCUGGGAGUCGGCCGCGCGCUCCGACGCCUCCCCGAAGACGAGUUCCGGAACGGCGCCGCGCAGGUCUCCCAUCGCUAUUUCUCAGACCUUGACGCUGCGCUCAAGCUCUCUUUCUUUGCAAAGUAUUUUCUCGAUUAUGUUAGUUUUGAUUAUGAUUUUUGGUAGUCUUUAUAUGUACAUGUUUCUUCUAUGACUGUAAUUAAAUAUUU